CGCGUAGGCGGACAUGUAAGUUGUGGGUGAAAUCCCGAGGCUUAACCUCGGAGCUGCCUGCAAAACUGCGUGUCUUGAGGUUUGGAGAGGGAAGUGGAAUUCCAGGUGUAGCGGUGAAAUGCGUAGAUAUCUGGAGGAACACCCGUGGCGAAGGCGGCUUCCUGGCCAUAUCCUGACGCUGAGGUGCGAAAGCUAGGGGAGCGAACGGGAUUAGAUACCCCGGUAGUCCUAGCCGUAAACGAUGGAUACUAGGUGUUAGAGGUAUCGACCCCUCUAGUGCCGGAGCUAACGCAUUAAGUAUCCCGCCUGGGGAGUACGACCGCAAGGUUGAA
rnacentral:rRNA from 1 species